GGUAGGACUCUAAGUUGCUCGUCGAACGGUGAACGGGUGCUUGCACUCGUGGAUCAGUGGCGAACGGGUGAGUAACACGUGAGUAACCUGCCCAUCACUCUGGGAUAAGCGCUGGAAACGGCGUCUAAUACUGGAUACGACCAACCCUUGCAUGGGGUGUUGGUGGAAAGAUUUAUCGGUGAUGGAUGGACUCGCGGCCUAUCAGCUUGUUGGUGGGGUAAUGGCCUACCAAGGCGACGACGGGUAGCCGGCCUGAGAGGGCGACCGGCCACACUGGGACUGAGACACGGCCCAGACUCCUACGGGAGGCAGCAGUGGGGAAUAUUGCACAAUGGGCGAAAGCCUGAUGCAGCGACGCCGCGUGAGGGAUGACGGCCUUCGGGUUGUAAACCUCUUUCAGCAGGGAAGAAGCUUUUGUGACGGUACCUGCAGAAGAAGCACCGGCUAACUACGUGCCAGCAGCCGCGGUAAUACGUAGGGUGCGAGCGUUGUCCGGAAUUAUUGGGCGUAAAGAGCUUGUAGGCGGUUUGUCGCGUCUGCUGUGAAAAUCCGGGGCUUAACCUCGGACGUGCAGUGGGUACGGGCAGACUAGAGUGGGUAGGGGAGAUGGAAUUCCUGGUGUAGCGGUGAAAUGCGCAGAUAUCAGGAGGAACACCGAUGGCGAAGGCAG
rnacentral:rRNA from 1 species